CUGGAAUUCCAUGGCUGAGGUGCAACAGGUCCCACAGCCUCUCCAGCCUCUGUGGGAAGAAGGAUCAUCUGAUGCCUAUGUAAUAGAGUUGCUGAAGGAGUGGAAGCAGCUUUGACAUUAUCAGUGGAACCCACCAGUGCAGACUGCUUCAUCCAAGGGCACCUAAGGCAGCAGAUCUGAGGAUUAGGGAUGUCAGGAGCUGAAGCCUGGCUGGAGAGGUGGUGCGCACAAGAACCCCCACAUUCCCCGAUAGGAGCCUGAAAAAGCAAGACGCCAUGUUGGGAGGACACGCAAGCAGUCCUAGGGAGAGGAGCACAUGGCAAGGAGCCA
rnacentral:lncRNA from 1 species